rnacentral:misc_RNA from 1 species
AGAUAGCAGCAUUAAAAACAUAAAUUAUCAGGUAGACAUUUGUAUACAUAAAAUGUUCUGUUGUCCAAUCACCCCUCUUUCCAGAUGUUUAUCUUGUUAUGCCUUCUGUAGUCUUUAUGUAUAUAGCUUGGCUAAAAAAUGAAGUGAUGAGCGUAUUUCUCUUGAGCAAGGUCAUUUGUUUAGCUCAGAGUUUAGAUUAAUGUCUGUCCAGAAAGAAUUGGAACCAAUUGAAGGUAUUUACUGAUGCUCUUCUUGAGGUAAUCCAG